rnacentral:rRNA from 1 species
CAGUAGCCGCGGGAAUACAGAGGGUGCGAGCGUUAAUCGGAUUUACUGGGCGUAAAGCGUGCGUAGGCGGCUAAUUGAGUCGGAUGUGAAAUCCCCGAGCUUAACUUGGGAAUUGCAUUCGAUACUGGUUAGCUAGAGUGUGGGAGAGGAUGGUAGAAUUCCAGGUGUAGCGGUGAAAUGCGUAGAGAUCUGGAGGAAUACCGAUGGCGAAGGCGACCACCUGGACUGAUACUGACACUGAGGUGCGAAAGCGUGGGGAGCAAACAGGAUUAGAUACCCCAGUAGUCCCUGUCUCUUAUAU